GACGAACGCUGGCGGCGUGCUUAACACAUGCAAGUCGAACGGAAAGGCCCAGCUUGCUGGGUGCUCGAGUGGCGAACGGGUGAGUAACACGUGGGUGAUCUGCCCCUAACUUCGGGAUAAGCUUGGGAAACUGGGUCUAAUACCGGAUAGGACAAUCGUUUAGUGUCGGUUGUGGAAAGUUUUUUCGGUUAGGGAUGAGCCCGCGGCCUAUCAGCUUGUUGGUGGGGUAAUGGCCUACCAAGGCGUCGACGGGUAGCCGGCCUGAGAGGGUGGACGGCCACAUUGGGACUGAGAUACGGCCCAGACUCCUACGGGGGGCAGCAGUGGGGAAUAUUGCACAAUGGGCGCAAGCCUGAUGCAGCGACGCCGCGUGGGGGAUGACGGCCUUCGGGUUGUAAACCUCUUUCGACAGGGACGAAGCUUUGGUGACGGUACCUGUAGAAGAAGCACCGGCUAACUACGUG
rnacentral:rRNA from 1 species